UACAGAGGUCUCGAGCGUUAGGCGGAAUCACUGGGCUUAAAGCGUGUGUAGGCGGAUCGUUAAGUGCCUUGUGAAAUCCCACGGCUCAACCGUGGAACUGCUUGGCAUACUGGCGGUCUUGAGCAACCUAGGGGCGAGCGGAACAAAUGGUGGAGCGGUGAAAUGCGUAGAUAUCAUUUGGAACGCCAAUGGUGAAAACAGCUCGCUGGGGGUUUGCUGACGCUGAGACGACGAAAGCCAGGGGA
rnacentral:rRNA from 1 species